AACUUAUAUGUUACUACUUGGUUGUCACCAAUUCUCAAAUAAGAAUAUAAAUAACCUUAUAUCUUCAGAUUGCAGAUGUCAACUGUAAGAUCUUGGCAGUAAACACGAGGUUUCCUGGCCGUGUGCACGACUCUUUCAUAUUUAACAAUUCGUCCAUUUAGGAUGAAUUAAGAAGAUUGUACAAUGGCCACAUUGGGGAGUAUUUCCUUCUGGGUAAGCAGAAAAUUGUGUAUCUGUACCUAGUGUAAAUUUAUUCGAUGGGGAGACGUGACGUACGCGUUUGCGUUAACUGUCAUUUUGUAUGGAAUUUUGAGUUUCCAAAACAUCCCGCUUGGCGCGCUGUUUCUAAAUCCCUUAUCACCACUUGCACCAUUUCACUAACUCGGGGUUAACUGGUUAACCCUGGAGUUACCAUGUUACCAGUACAAUUUCACAUUGGGUUAACGGUUUAACCGGUUAACCCCGGGUUAUUGGAAUGGGGCAAGUGCAUGUUAGUAAAUGUACUAAGAUCACGACCACAGAAUAAAUAGUUCAUGACUAAGUUAAUAUACCUAUCAUAAUGUAAAAAAGGCAUAAGCAAGGGGGAAGUUUCGUUAGUUGUUCAGAUGAUUAAGUAUUAUGUAACCAAAAAAUAAUAAUUUCAGGUGACUCGGGGUAUGCUCUUGAGCCAUGGCUCAUGACGCCAGUGCUGAAUCCUGCCCCGGGAAGCCCAGAAGCAAGGUAGGUACACGGUCUGGCACUGUCGCGUGCGCAACACGAUCAAGCGUACCAAUGGGUACCUCAAAAACGUAUUCCGGUGCCUGGGCCACGACCGCGUCUUACACUACAGCCCGACGAAGGCAUCGUCAAUAAUAAAUGCAUGUUGCGUAGUAUACAACAUAAUGCAACAUUAUAGAAAUGUUCCCGAGGAAAUCGUAGGAGAUAUUGAUGAAGACGCUCCUCAAGAACUUCCUCAUCGUCAUGCGCAAAACGGACUACUAUUAAGAGUGGCGCAGGAAAAGCGUGCGCGUCUAAUAAAUACAUAUUUUGCUUA